rnacentral:rRNA from 1 species
UAAUACGGAGGGUGCGAACGUUGUUCGGAAUUACUGGGCGUAAAGCGCGUGUAGGCGGUGCGUUAAGUCAGAUGUGAAAGCCCUCGGCUCAACCGAGGAAGUGCAUUUGAAACUGGCGAACUAGAGUACGGGAGAGGGUUGUAGAAUUCCAGGUGUAGAGGUGAAAUUCGUAGAUAUCUGGAGGAAUACCGGUGGCGAAGGCGGCAACCUGGACCGAUACUGACGCUGAGACGCGAAAGCGUGGGGAGCAAACAGGAUUAGAUACCCUGGUAGUCCACGCCGUAAACGUUGGACACUAGGUGCUGCGGGUAUUGACCCCUGCGGUGCCGUAGCUAACGCGUUAAGUGUCCCGCCUGGGGAGUACGGCCGCAAGGCUA